GGGCGAAAGCCUGGAUCCAGCAAUGCCGCGGUGGUGUGAAGAAGGCCUUCGGGUUUGUAAAGCACUUUAGGCUGGAAAGAAAAAGCUUUGGCUAAUAUCCAAAGCCUUGACGGUACCAGCAGAAUAAGCACCGGCUAACUCUGUGCCAGCAGCCGCGGUAAUACGA
rnacentral:rRNA from 1 species